UAAAUGCCAGUGCUGAGGAAGCUUCCAGUGUGCAUUAAAGAGAGCAGGGACACACUGAUAGAGGAGGUGGCAGUGGAGCACAUACUGAGUACUGCUAAGCAGAGUCAGAUGGAAAAGCUAGUAAAUGCACCUAGCCUCUGAAAAAGAAUGUGCAGGCUCAUAGCACCUCCCUGGACUUCACGUUUGUGGCCUUAUGUAAUACCUGGAUUGUUGCCUGGUGUUUGAAGCAAGGACUUACACUUUGGAUCUGAUUGCUGUUUUUCUCUGGUUAUCUCUUCUACGUUGUUAAUCUCACAUUGUUCAACCAUACCCAAACAAUGUGAAUUAACCGAACAUGUUCUGGCUGUGGAGAUGAUCUGAAUAAAACUGCAAAAACAGUCAUAACCUUCAGAGUCUUGCAGGUGGUCUUGGGAAGGCCAAGCACAAAGGAGCUGGAGAGCAGUCACAAACAGAGCAUCAACAUGAACAAAGGAAGGUACCACUGGCUGAACACUGGAGGGCCGGAAAAUGCAGAAAAUGGUCAGCGAGAGAAAAGUGAUGAGGCUUCUUGGAGGAAAUACAUUCUAUCUGUGAUUGCAAAUCAAAACUUCUUUGUGAUGAUUCACAACCUACUGCACCAACAGCCCCAAAUGAGAGCCAACACACCAUGCACACCAACAUUCCUGAAAGUGCCUGGUUUAUGAAUAUGAAUGGAUAUUCCUUAAAGCAAUGAUUUAUUUAG
ensembl:lncRNA